AACGCGUCCGCCGAGGCUCAGCGCGCCGCCGCCCGGUUCCACCAGCUGGACGUCAAGUUCCGCGAGCUGGCGCAGCUCGUCACCCAGCAGAGCAGUCUCAUCGCCCGCCUGGAGCGCCUGUGCCCGGGAGGCGCGGGCGGGCAGCAGCAGGUCCUGCCGCCACCCCCACUGGUGCCUGUGGUUCCGGUCCGUCUUGUGGGUAGCACCAAUGACACCAGUAGGAUGCUGGACCCAGCCCCAGAGCCCCAGAGAGACCAGACCCAGAGACAGCAGGAGCCCCUGGCUUCUCCCAUGCCUGCAGGUCACCCUGCGGUCCCCACCAAGCCUGUGGGUAAGUCGACAUUAGGGCUGAGGAAUUGUGGGUAGAGGAAAAUUGAGGAGUCAGGAUUUUAGUGGCAGAUUUCUCUCAUUGUGAGAAGACCGGAAGAAAUGAUACUCUUAUUCUGAUUAAAAAUAAGACCAAACUUCUAAGGUGUGAAAAUAGGAGAAACAAGAAAUAGAAGAGGAGGGACUCUUAUUUUAGUGAGGCAAUGGUUGGGACUGCUACUUUGGUAAGAGUUUGAACUGG
rnacentral:sRNA from 1 species